UUUAAGGGCUGACUCCCAAGGAAGAAGGAUCUCUAUUUGGAUUUUUUUUUAUUUACUCUUGGAGCCCUUCUGCGAGCCCAGGACAUGGUACCAAGUGCCAAACGCACCUGAAGUCUGCAUACACCAUGAUGAGAAGCAGGAAGAUCCCUAUCUGCCUAUGGGAGUUGAAGCCGAGUGCACUCUGCAUUUCUUUGCCAUUACCCUCUACAACAACACUUCAAAGGUCAAGACUGACAGCUCCAUGGAUUUUGAUGUAACGCUGCUUUUUUAUGGACUGUACAGAGGAAUGAUGCACAGCAACUUUGCAGAGUUGGAAAAUAGGAAAUGAUACAGUAAAAAAAAAUCUUAGGCAAGUGGAAGAGUAAUCUUAAGUGCAUAGAAGGACAGGUAUCUCCUGAUAUCCACCUUCAUUUUCAAAUUACAUCUGAAGGAAGAGCUUGAUGGUGGUGUCUCUGUUUACUCCACUUCAGCAGUUACAAUCUUUGACCCAUCCAACAGUAUUUGAGGUGGGAAAGUCUUCAGCUACUCUCAUCUUGUGGACUACCUCCCAGAGAGAACAAAGAUGAGGAACACCCACUUUGCGCUGGUGCUAAGGCUUCUGGAUCAGAGAGAAGAGUAUGGUCUUGAAAUGAAAGACUACGUAGGUAUUAGUGUUUGAUACACUUUAGGUGAGCACUUCAACAACUAUGCUUAAGCAAGUCAAAAAAGUGUUUGAACCCCACUGUGAAGCAUCACUUCACUGAGAAAGAAUAACAAGCACCACAGUGUGAAAGCACAUAUUUAGAUUAAAGUUUGCAGCCAUGAUUUUUAGAAGAUUUUGACAUUUAACUUACCAUGAUUAUGAAACACUAUUGAGAAUCAGUCCUUAAAUCUAUGCAGUAUGGGAGCUAGGAUGAAAAUUCUUGCUGCAUAAGCAGGCACUUAUGUAAAGCUUUGGAAAAGAUAGAGCUAUAUAAAAUAAAUAGUUGUGUAUCUGAAAAACUUUUCAACAGCAAAUUUUUAAACAAAACUGCUUUUUGUAAGACGGCUGAUUAAAAUACUUAGAAAAAUCAUGAUCACAGACACGAAUAGAACAAUUUCAAAGCAAGUAACAGCAAUUAUAGUAGCUCAGAUCUCUGGUAGAUAGAUACAGAUAGAUAAAGGGACAAAAAGGCAAUGGAAAUAAAUCCAGUAGAGGAUGGCUACAGUCUCCAUUUUUAAUGAUCCUAUCUACGAUUUUAGAGCUGCUUUCAAGUUUUCCCAAAACAUCUGCUGUUGCUCUUCAUCAGGAGGCCACUCCAGGUAGGUCUUGGUGUUCAUUAUCUUCCGCAGUUUGCAGAACCUCUUGGGGAUCGCCUGGCUCUGAAUGGGCUCCAGCAGGAUGAGGAUCGCCACAUCGUUGUUCUCGUCAAAAAGGCGAAAGUGCGAGAAAUCCAGCUCAUACUUGCACCACUCGCUCUGCACAAAGUGCUCUGAUAGCACAAAGAGCGUCUUGUGGCUCUUCUCAAUGGAGUCAAUGAUGUUGUCCACAAUCCACUUCCCAGGCACAAAGUCCCGCUUAUGGAGGCACAGCCUAAAGGGGGGACAUGCCUGCUCCAGCUGCUGCACCAUGAUGUUUUCCACCCAGUUGGAGUCGUUCUCACUGUAGGAGACAAAAGCGUCGUAGCAGAUGUCUUUCGUGGGGGCUCGCUUGGGCUUCCGCUUGGCUUGGAGCCAUGCCCAGGUCAUUCUCAUGUACCAGACUGCAUGGUACUUGUACCCAACGACCACCAGGAUGAGGAUGAACAGGAACACCAGGGUGCAGAUCAAGGACACUAGGAGGGACCGGUGGCACUCCAUCAGUGACAGCUGCACACUCCCAACCUGUGCCCCUCGCACUGUCAGCGGAGAGUCACAGAUGUAGCUUUCUGGCCACCCCACAAGCACCUGGGCUAUCCCUGCCUCAUGGUGAAUGAAGGAGAGGAAUUCACAGGAGCAGAUAAAGUUAUUGGCGCUGGCAUCCAGCAGCUCCAUUUGCUUGAAGGACUCAAACUCUUCCUUGGAGAAGCUGUUGAGCUUGUUUCUGCUGAUCGACAUGGCCACUAAGUUAGGAAUGUCUGUGGCUUCAGGCAAGGUCUUCAGAUGGUUUUUUGUCAGGUACAGCUCCUUGAGAAAUGGCAGUUGCAGUCCAAAAUCCUGCAGGUUGUUAGCACUAACGUCCAGCACUUCAAGAGUUGAGGGAAUGCAAGUUGUUAAUUUGGGAAUUUGAGUGCUGGAGAGAUUCAGAUAUUUCAGGUUUUCAGGCCAUUCACACAUGUCUGGAAUCUCACCAAAAUUGUUUUCACUGAUGUCUAAGAGAUUUAGGUUUCUUAGAUGAAACAAGCUUUUACCUGUCAUUUUUAAGUCACUCAAUGAAUUCUGACUUAGAUUUAGAGUUUGUAAUGAAGGCCAUGCACCCUGACAGGCUGAAUGCUCCAAACUCUGAUCUCCAAGUAAAUUUGCGCUAAGGUCAAGAUACUCCAAUGAUAGAAGGUGUUGUGAAAGUUUGCAUGGCACCAGAAACACCUUGGUAUUUUCAACUGUGACUUUCCUAAAAAGAGAUAGGAGAUCUAGUACAGACUGAAGAUCUGUAAACAAAUAAAACUCUUCUAUAGAUAAAUUCUCUAUUGUCAGAAUUCUCAGAGAUUGUGACUGGUUUGCAUGAAUUUGUUUAUACCACUUUCCAGUGCCCAAGAGUGUACAGUCUUUCAUCUCCACCUCCAUUAAUUUUGGCAUGCCUUCUAAAAUGCUGACAAUCUCAGGCACAGUAGCAUCUGUAAAUAAGCACUGUUUUAAAGAAAUUUUCUUUGCGAAAGAGGAAGACAUAAUUCUCAAAAGUUGUAUUUUUUCAGGAACACUGAAUGCUAGUUUUCUUACAUCUAACCAAAUGGCAGAGUGCAGAAGGUCCCUGAUGACUGCUGAGAAUACGUCAAUCCUUCUUAUGCUUAUGAUCAUGUGAUUUAUCUUCCUGAUCGAUUUCAGACUUCCAGGCUCAUACUGACUGAGAUUGUCACCGUCGAUCCUCAGCGUGUUGAGAAACACAAUGCCCUCAAAGUUUCCUUGCCUGAUGAUGGAGAACUGUGGGUUGCCCAGGUGGAGGGAGCUCAAGUUUCUCAGGCUGGAAAAGGGGGAACUUUCCCCCAGGUCGCUGUAGGAAUUGCCUUGAAUGCGAAGGUGUUGGAGCGAAAAAAGGGGCCCAAACCACACUGGGGACAAGUGAGCCAGGCUAUUAUUUGACAAGUCCAAGAGCUCCAGUUUCCCCUGAGAGCCAAACGAGUCCUCGUCUAUGGAGCUGAUUUGGUUGGACUGCAGCAGCAGGGUUCUCAGGUUCACAGCCUUUUGCAGAUCAUGUGUUCGGAUCACCUUUAUCCUGUUAUGGGCCAGGUUUAACACCGUGAUUUUGCCUGUGAGCCCCGGGGGAAUGAAGUCCAAACCCAUGAAAGAGCAGUUGCAUGACUGAGUGGCAUCGCAUGAAAGACAGGCCUGUCUCAGGGCUUGUUCUUCAGGGAGGUGCGCAGCCAAGGCUGUGCAAAUUGCCCACAUUUUCCAAGUAUGCAUAGUUGUUUAUUUUGCCUAAACUUUGAAAUACCUACAAAAUACAAGAUGAUUACUUAGUUUUGAAGUAGCUACACUUUGAUUAUAGCUAAAACUCGGUCCCCCUUGCUGUUCUGUCUUUCUGAAGACACUAUGAAAACAUUUGUUUUUGUUUUUAAUGCAUUUCAGAGAUUAAUUAAUUCAUUUUACCAAGAAAAAAGCAUAUUGUAACUAAAUAUUCCAAAAUAAUUUGCUAGAUGCCAACUACAUUGAAUUAACUUUUUUUUCUCCAUUGUGUUCUCAUUUUGAAUGAGUACUGUCAAAUGAAUUGACAGCUGUACAUAUUUUUCACAGAUUUAGCUAGAGACCUGAAUAACUGCCACAUUAUUACUAAUCCAAUCCUUUGCCUAUUUAGAAAUGGGUAACUUUCACAUUUAAUAUUCAUUCAAGCAUAUGUCUCAUGUCACUUAUGACAGUACAGAGAAGAAAGUUGCAUAUAUUUCAAUUACUUUCUUCUGCCUUUGGCUAUCGCAGGCAUAUACAUGCUAGAAUAUGUCUGUGUAGGCCAUCAUCAUCAUGUUGUGAUCAGUCUAACACUUGACACUGAAACCUAAGCUGGGAAAACUGACCAUUAUAAUUUACUGACUCCUAGCUCUUCCUUUUUAUUGCCAUAUCCUCCCCCUCUGGUAGGGGCCUUUUCUGCUUUGGAUCAGAGGUUCUUGGAGCUUCCUGAAGAUCAGAUCAGUUGGCUGGAAUAGAUCCACUUCUCUUUCCAGCCUCACGGCCAGUUCCUUGUGAUCUGGAUUGAAAUGAUUUGAGCUAACUGACACAGCUGUAGAGCAUACCAAAAUACCCGGCUUGACCUCACUUCCAACAAAGAGACAUUAGCUAGAUCCUUUGAGGAACUAGAAUAAAACAAUUCUUAUAGCCAGGGAGGGCAGUUUUCCCUUAAAAACUCCUAUUAUAUGUUGAGUUAUAAGCCUUUUUUUGGUUACUGCUUUCUUGGCAAGGAUUAAAGAGCACUUUUAAAGUAUGAGAUAACGAUUCCCAGUGUGUCACAAAAUCCUUGCCUGAGAGGUUGGUACUUUACUGAGGGUCAAAAGAGUGAACCAUCUCCAAAGAGACAAAUGAACUGGUUCCCAAAGGUUAGAUUGACUCACAGAGGAGUACUUUCUUCUUCAGUCAUCUCACUGAGCCACUGUGCAGAAGAUCUACUGUACUUGGAAUUCAUACCCUGGUUUGUUUUACAGUAGCUGACCCAAACAGGCAAGUUCAUACAGACAAGUUCUCCUGUUCUAGCUGCAUUAUUUUAGAUAGAGUUGCUUAAAAUCACUUAAAAGGGGCAGAAUUAGCUGAGGUUGUUUGGACAUACAGAGAGAAGAGGAAAGUAUGUGGUUCAUUUUUUAGAUCCUUCCAUCUCUUCCCACCUAAAAAAGAUGACAAGCAUUUUGACUUCUUGCAGUAUUUUUCUUUAAUCUCUGUCUUUUUCUGAUGUAGAGCUUUCAGUCUUGAAGGAUACAAUAAUCUCCCCAGACUUGAAAGCUGUGGUCACUCACCAUGUUCUUCAAGGUCAGUGGAGAGAAAUAACAGCUUUUAGGGGCAAUUCAAAUCCUAUCUUGUAGACACACAUAAUAAGAUAUGAUACCUCCAAGAGAAAUUAUACCAUCACCUUAAAUGAAGAUCCAUUGUAUAGCUGUCUAGCUGUUUAGGCAGGUUAAUCCCAUCCAAAGUUACAAUCUAUAGUCACACUU